UUACGUUUGAACUCUUCCUGUGAUUUCAGAUUCCAGCGAGGCGACUACCACAUCGAUGUCUGCAUCAACGACUACCUGGAUGUGUUCUGCCCUCACUAUGAAGACUCAGUGCCAGAAGAUAAGACCGAACGCUAUGUUCUCUACAUGGUGAACUUUGAUGGCUACAGCUCCUGUGAUCACACUUCCAAAGGGUUCAAGAGGUGGGAGUGUAAUCGGCCGCAUUCCCCGAAUGGACCAUUAAAGUUCUCGGAAAAGUUCCAGCUCUUCACACCCUUCUCACUAGGAUUUGAGUUCAGGCCAGGCCGGGAAUAUUUCUACAUCUGUGAGUACAUAGAGAUUUACCACUGUUGCGCAGCAGGUGUAAGAAACCCAGCUAAUUUUUCACCUAUGCUCUGUGAAAAUACAGAGGGCCAAAUGGUGUAUGAUGCAGAUGUCUUACAGUGA